rnacentral:tRNA from 1 species
GGGCGCUUAGCUCAGACUGGUCAGAGCACCUCCCUUACAAGGAGGGGGUCGGGGGUUCGAGUCCCUCAGCGCCCACCA